UACGGGGGGGGCAUGCGUUGUUCGGAAUUACUGGGCGUAAAGGGCUCGUAGGCGGCCAACUAAGUCAGACGUGAAAUCCCUCGGCUUAACCGGGGAACUGCGUCUGAUACUGGAUGGCUUGAGUUUGGGAGAGGGAUGCGGAAUUCCAGGUGUAGCGGUGAAAUGCGUAGAUAUCAGGAGGAACACCUGUGGUGUAGACAGCUUUCUGGACCAUUGCUGACGCUGAGACACGAAAGCGUGGGUAGCAAACAGG
rnacentral:rRNA from 1 species